rnacentral:rRNA from 1 species
CCUACGGGGGGCUGCAGUGGGGAAUAUUGGACAAUGGGGGCAACCCUGAUCCAGCCAUGCCGCGUGUGUGAAGAAGGCCCUCGGGUUGUAAAGCACUUUCAGUGAGGAAGAACGCCUGGUGGUUAAUACCCAUCAGGAAAGACAUCACUCACGGAAGAAGCACCGGCUAACUCCGUGCCAGCAGCCGCGGUAAUACGGAGGGUGCGAGCGUUAAUCGGAAUUACUGGGCGUAAAGCGCGCGUAGGUGGCUUGAUAAGCCGGUUGUGAAAGCCCCGGGCUCAACCUGGGAACGGCAUCCGGAACUGUCAAGCUAGAGUGCAGGAGAGGAAGGUAGAAUUCCCGGUGUAGCGGUGAAAUGCGUAGAGAUCGGGAGGAAUACCAGUGGCGAAGGCGGCCUUCUGGACUGACACUGACACUGAGGUGCGAAAGCGUGGGUAGCAAACAGGAUUAGAUACCCCGGUAGUC